CCAAAGUGUACCAAUAAUGUUGAUUAUGCGUUUAUUAUUCUCAAUGAAACUUGCCCACUAGAUACAACACAGCCGUAGGCCUGAAGCCUUCAACGAAUAUUUCAUAAUAAUUGAGAGGGGGCAAAACGAGAAAAGUAGAUAUAUUUAGAAGGCUUGUUGCAUCACGAUCUGAAGUUCGGGUCCAUAUUUUCCUUGCUACCAACAUCAACCGGCUGUUCUUCCAUGCAUGAGCUAGUUUGAGUUAGCUAUCUUGAUCUACAACUCAAGCACAAAUGGCAGAAGCAAUUAUUCUUGCUCUAUCAAAGAUUAAUAGUACUUUUGGAUUGGAUCCCACAAAUAUUGCCAAAUCUGCAGUAUCCAAGCUAUAUCAGAAAGGAAAGAGUUUGGCGGAGUUACCGGGGAAGGUUGAAGAAAUAAGAAUGGAACUAACAACAAUGGAAAAUGUCAUAGAACAACUAGAUACAGCACAUCUCACUGACAAAGUUAUCAAGGGUUGGAUUGCGGAGGUACGAAAGCUGGCCUACCAUGUUGAGGAUGUAAUGGACAAAUACUCAUAUCAUGCUCUUCAAAUGGAGGAAGAAGGGUUCCUGAAAAAGUACGUUGUCAAAGGAUCACAUUAUGCCAUUGUUUUCGAUGGAAUUGUUGCUGAGAUAGUCCAGAUUGAGCAGGAAAUCCAAAGAGUUAUAAAGCUGAAAGAUAAAUGGCUGCAACCAUCCCAGCUUAUCCGUAAUAAACAUUCUGAUUUUGAAAGAAAGCGGUCACAAGGCUGCUUGCCAGAGCUCGUAAAGGAUGAAGAUCUUGUGGGGAUCGAAGGCAACAGGAUGUUAUUGACUGGAUGGUUGUACUCAAAUGAACUAGAUAGCACAGUGAUAAUAGUAUCUGGCAUGGGUGGAUUAGGAAAAACUACCAUUGUUGCCAAUGUGUAUGAGCGUGGGAAGAUCAGGUUCCAUGCUCAUGCUUGGAUUGUCGUGUCACAGACCUAUGACGUAGAAGAAUUGCUGAGGAAGGUACUCAGGAAGAUUGGAUAUGCAGAUCAAGCACACUUGGAUGGUAUGGAUGUUCAUGACUUAAAAGAGAAGUUCAAAGAAAACAUAAGUGAUAGAAGGUGUUUGAUAGUGUUGGAUGAUGUCUGGGAUAGAGAAGCAUACAACCAAAUACAUGAUGCCUUCCAAAAUCUCCAGGCAAGCCGCAUCAUCAUCACUACACGGAGUAAGCAUGUGGCAGCACUAGCUCUACCAACACGUCACCUUAAACUCCAACCUUUGGACAAGGUCGAUGCAUUCAGUCUCUUCUGCAGAAGGGCUUUUUAUAGCAGGAAGGACUACGAUUGCCCCUCAGAACUUCUAGAGUUGGCUAAUUCAAUCGUCGAUAGGUGUCAAGGCCUACCUCUAGCUAUCGUAUCUAUUGGGAGCCUGUUGUCCUCAAAGCAGCCGAUACAGCAUGCUUGGAAGCAAACAUACAAUCAGCUACAGAGCGAGCUAGCAAAGAGUGAUCAUGUACAAGCAAUUCUGAACCUAAGCUACUAUGACUUACCAGGAGACCUCAGUAACUGCUUUUUGUAUUGCAGCAUGUUCCCUGAGGAUUGCCCCAUGCCACGAGACAACCUUGUACGACUUUGGGUUGCUGAAGGAUUUGCUGCAAGAAAAGAAAACAACACGCCAGAAGACGUGGCUGAAGGAAAUCUCAAUGAACUGAUCAACCGGAAUAUGCUGGAAGUGGUAGAGACAGAUGAACUUGGUAGGGUUAGUACCUGUAAGAUGCAUGACAUUAUGCGUGAUCUAGCUCUUUUUGUGGCUAAAGAUGAGAGAUUUGGUUCAGCAAAUGAUUCUGGCACAAUGAUGCUGAUGGAUAAUGAAGUCCGCCGCUUGUCAAUGUGUCGUUGGGAGGACAAAGGUGUCUAUAAAGCUAAAUUUCCUCGCCUUCGAACAUUAAUAUCAGUUCAAACAAUUUCAUCCUCCUCUAACAUGUUGUCCUCAAUUUUCUCUGAAUCCACCUACCUCACUGUCCUUGAGCUGCAAGAUUCUGAAAUCACUGAAGUGCCAACAAGUAUAGGGAAUCUGUUUAACCUAAGAUAUAUCGGCUUAAGGCGCACCAAAGUCAAGUCAUUUCCAGAGACAAUUGAGAAACUCUAUAAUCUCCACACUCUAGACAUCAAGCAGACAAAAAUAGAGAAGCUACCACGAGGGAUUGUCAAGGUCAGGAAGCUACGACACCUUUUAGCUGACAAAUGUGCUGAUGAGAAGCAUUCAGAUUUCCGGUACUUCACUGGAGUUCAACCUCCGAAAGAGCUAUCCAACUUAGAAGAGUUGCAGACACUCGAAACUGUGGAAGCCAGCAAAGAUUUGGCCGAGCAGCUGAAGAAACUUACGCAACUGUGAAGCGUGUGGAUUGACAACAUAACUGAUGUUGAUUGUGCAGUUCUUUUUUCUACACUAUCAAAUAUGCCACUUCUUUCAACCCUGCUUCUUUCCGCAAGUAGUAAAACUGAGACGCUUUGUUUCAAAACCCUCGAGCCUAUUUCAGGGAGGCUCCACAAGCUAAUUGUCAGAGGGCACUGGGCCAAUGGGACACUGCAAUGCCCAAUAUUUCAGGACUGUGGGAGAAAUCUCAAGUACUUAGCUCUAAGCUGGUGUCAUCUUGGGGAAGAUCCCCUGUCACUGUUAGCAUCACAUGUGCCAUACCUCACCUUUCUAAGACUAAACAGGGUGUAUACUACAAAGACAUUAGUUCUUUCUGCAGGGUGUUUUCCAGAGCUAAAGACACUCGUUUUGAAACACAUGCCGGAUGUCAACAAGGUGGAGAUCGAAGACCGUGCCCUUCCACGGAUUGAAGGUUUGCACAUUGUGUCUUUGUACAAUGUGAAAAAGGUACCUGAAGGCAUCGAGUUUCUUCGCUCCUUGAAGAAGCUAUGGCUGCUGCAUCUACAUAAGGACUUCAACACUUACUGGGAGAGCAAUGGAAUGCACGAGAAAAUGGCGCAUGUACAGGAGCUCUACCGCAUCUAGGAGUGACAUAUUUUACUCUUCCUUCUGCAUAACACGUACUCGUGCCAAGAUGCCUCUGCACAGUACUAAAUAACGCAUCUUGUCCUGCCCAAUUAAUCCUUAGCUAAUGUGCUAUCAAUAGAUUUGUGGAGUAUUUGGUAAUGUGCUAUGCUAUUUUUUUAUUUUUUAAAUAAUCCUGAAACAUUGGCUUUCUCCUCUGAGAAAGUCCCUCUUGGGAGUAUAUUGGAAGAUAUAUAAUAUUUUCAUGUAAUAUGCUGGAUCUACCAAUUGAAUUGUAUAAGGCUGUAAACUACAUGCUAUAAUCCAUACAUGCAUGUACCUUUCAAUAUAAGAAUCAGUACUGACAUACCAUCUCAU